rnacentral:rRNA from 1 species
GAUGAACGCUAGCUACAGGCUUAACACAUGCAAGUCGAGGGGCAGCACUAGGUAGCAAUACUGAGGUGGCGACCGGCGCACGGGUGAGUAACACGUAUCCAACCUGGCCCAUACUCGGGUAUAGCCUCUCGAAAGGGAGAUUAAUCCCCGAUGUUGUUGUUAUGUCGCAUGAUGUUUCAACCAAAGAAUUUCGGUAUGGGAUGGGGAUGCGUUCCAUUAGCUUGUUGGCGGGGUAACGGCCCACCAAGGCGACGAUGGAUAGGGGUUCUGAGAGGAAGGUCCCCCACACUGGAACUGAGACACGGUCCAGACUCCUACGGGAGGCAGCAGUGAGGAAUAUUGGUCAAUGGUCUGACGACUGAACCAGCCAUGCCGCGUGAAGGUGACGGCCCUAUGGGUCUUAAACUUCUUUUGUAAGGGAGCAAUAAGUCUCACGUGUGGGAUGAUGAGAGUACCUUACGAAUAAGCAUCGGCUAACUCCGUGCCAGCAGCCGACGG